UACGUAGGGUGCAAGCGUUACUCGGAAUUACUGGGCGUAAAGCGUGCGCAGGCGGCUUUGCAAGCCAGAUGUGAAAUCCCCGGGCUUAACCUGGGAACUGCAUUUGUGACUGCAUGGCUGGAGUGCGGUAGAGGGGGAUGGAAUUCCGCGUGUAGCAGUGAAAUGCGUAGAUAUGCGGAGGAACACCGAUGGCGAAGGCAAUCCCCUGGGCCUGCACUGACGCUCAGGCACGAAAGCGUGGGGAGCAAACAGG
rnacentral:rRNA from 1 species